rnacentral:sRNA from 1 species
UGCGGAGGAUCAUUAUCGAAUAAACUUGAUCAGGCUGUUGCUGGCCCCUCCUGGGGUAUGUGCACGCUUGUCAUCUUUAUCAUUUCUCCAACUUGUGCACAUAUUUGUAGACCUGAUUAUUUUUGAAGAAAUUCAAGUUGGGGGACUGCUGUGCUUNNCAAAAGUCNGCUUUCCCUUGUAUUUUUCAGGUCUAUGUCAUUUUUCACAACCUCUAGAAAUGUGUUUAGAAUGAUAUAUAUAAAGUUAAUAUACAACUUUCAGCAACGGAUCUCUUGGCUCUCGCAUCGAUGAAGAACGCAGCGAAAUGCGAUAAGUAAUGUGAAUUGCAGAAUUCAGUGAAUCAUCGAAUCUUUGAACGCAUCUUGCGCUCCUUGGUAUUCCGAGGAGCAUGCCUGUUUGAGUGUCAUUUGACUUCUCUCAACCACAUUGUCUUUUCGAUGUGGCUUGGAUGUGGGGGGAAUUAUCUUUUGCAGACUUCUUUUGAUUAAGAAGCCGGCUCCCCUGAAAUGCAUUAGUGGUGUUCUGAGCUGCUAUUGGUGUGAUAAAUCUAUCUAUGCCUUUGGUGAUGCUGGUCAGCGCUGCUUAUAAACAAGACAUUAUGACAAAUUUGACCUCAAAUCAGGUAGGACUACCCGCUGAACUUAAGCAUAUCAAU